GGAAAACGAAGAGGAGCAGCGCCGGAGUCCACUUACCCCUCCGGAGGCAGCGGAGCAACGGGGAUCGGCGGUCGGCGACGGAGAUCUGCGGCGGCAGAAGAGGACGGCUCCCGGAUGCGACCGAAGCCGAAUUUGCCAUAUUGCUGUUUCCUGCUACAUCAUGUGCCUGUCCUGCAAAACCCCUAAUGAUGGAUGCUUUCACCUGCAUGUAAAACCUCCUUGGAUAACAUAUUCAGAGGUCUCUGGAGCAGCUACCAAAUGCAAAUUCAACAUUUAGAAUCUUCCUAAUGUGUCAUGACAAAAUCAGAUUCACUAACUAGAAUGGAUGGAUCCGGACCAAAGCUACAGGGGUAGAUUCACCAUAGUAUCCUUAUAUCUAUUGUCUGAUUAUAUUUAUUUACUCACAUUGUUUAUAGGUCUGAGGAAGGUCCAAUGUGGACCGAAAUGUAACUUAUUUGUUUUGGAUUGCUAAUAAAAUUCACAUUGAUUCAAG